GUGACUGGAAAUCUGAUCAAAUUGGAUUUGUUCCAAACAUUUCUGAAAAGAAAAGCAAGUGAAACGUGUGGUUAAAGCUGAAGUACAAACUUUGAGGAGCUAAAAAUUGUAUGAAUAGUCCUGCAGCUGUAUGUUGAGUAAACAAAGAGAUAAGGAGGCUGCUUUAUUUCUCAAGGAUCCUACAUAGUGUGCUGAGUUCUUAAAAAAAAAGAGAAACUAAAGGCUGAGGUGCUAAACUGGUUCUUCCCAAGAUCAGGCAACCUCCUUCUCACAAGGCUACCCUGAAAAGGAGCGGAUGGGAAGCACUCUCAGACAUAACAAUAUGACUUCUUAAACUUGAUGAGUGAGCAAAUGGCAUUUUCAACCCAUGUAGUCCAGUAACAUGAAAUAUACAAAUUACAAAAAGAAACAAUACAUCAUCCAUCUUGGAGAGUCAUAUCUGCCAUUUCAAAUAUUUCACUAAUGAUCAGAAAUAAAUUCAGUUUAUAGUCUUAAAAACCUAAGUGAUUGUUACAGGUGAAGAAAAAUGAAGAACUGAAGAUCAUUAUUCCUACCUUGCCAUUGCUAUGCCAACAACACAGCCUCCAACUAUGGACCAAAAUCCAAUCCAGCCCGCAUCCACCUGAUGGGAAACAGCACGGGGAAAUGAAA